AGUUCUGAAUGUGCAUUCAGGUUACAAAGCUAAAGAUGGCUGAAGUGUUCAGAGAAGCCCAGCUCUGACUUCCUGUUUUCUCUGUGUGGUCGAGGUUUCACUGUGUUUCCUCUCACAGUAAGAGAUGUUUGAAUGAAGACAUUCAUCUGGAUCAGACAAUGAAGAUUAUACAGCUUCACUUCUUUCUGUUGAUGUGUUCUCAAGCCACAGAGAGUUUAACAAACACAUCAGUAACUUUAGGAGCAGAUGUGAUUAUAAACUGUGAUCUUGAUAUAGAGGAGAUUUACUGAAAUAUCAGCGCUGAUGAAUUAGGAGUUUAUUAUUGUGUCAAAACUAGUGAACCACAAAAAUUCAGCCACGGCACCAAAAUCUACAUCAACGACUCAGUCCUCAGGAAUCAGACAGAAUCACAUGAGACUCGGUGGAGAAACCUGAGCAUCAUCACAUCUGUCCUGUUGAGUCUGAUUCUGAUCUUCACAUUAAUAGUUUUGGUGAAGAGCUACGUAGCUUACAUUUACGAAACUGGAAGAUCUAAAAAUUACACUGCAGCUCAAAACUCAAAUAAUCCAAAGUGUGCUGAAAUUGAUUUAUUCAACAUAGGGCCUUGUCCAGAGCAGACCACGACUGUCCUCUACAGCCAAUGAAACUUUCUACUAGUUCUGCAGUUUUAUGUUUUAUUAUUUUUCAUACUGGAAAUUAAAGACACAAACCUCAA